AGAGUUUGAUCCUGGCUCAGGAUGAACGCUGGCGGCGUGCCUAAUACAUGCAAGUCGAACGGGGAGUACUUACUUCGGUUUUUACUCCUAGUGGCGAACGGGUGAGUAACGCGUUGGUGACCUGCCCCGAAGCGGGGGAUAACAGUUCGAAAGGACUGCUAAUACCCCAUGUGGUCCUACCGGUUAGAGACGGUAUGACUAAAGGAGCAAUCCACUUCGGGAGGGGCCUGCGUCCCAUCAGCUAGUUGGUACGGUAACGGCCUACCAAGGCAAAGACGGGUAGGGGGCCUGAGAGGGUGGCCCCCCACACUGGCACUGAAACACGGGCCAGACACCUACGGGUGGCAGCAGUAGGGAAUAUUGCACAAUGGGCGAAAGCCUGAUGCAGCAACGCCGCGUGCGCGAAGAAGGCCUUCGGGUUGUAAAGCGCUUUUCUGGAGGAAGAGAAAGGACGGUACUCCAGGAAUAAGGAUCGGCUAACUACGUGCCAGCAGCCGCGGUAACACGUAGGAUCCGAGCGUUAUCCGAAUUUACUGGGCGUAAAGCGCGUGUAGGCGGUCAGGUAAGUUGGACGUGAAAGCUCCUGGCUCAACUGGGAGAGGUCGUUCAAAACUGCCGGACUAGAGGGCGACAGAGGGAGGUGGAAUUCCCGGUGUAGUGGUGAAAUGCGUAGAUAUCGGGAGGAACACCAGUGGCGAAGGCGGCCUCCUGGGUCGCACCUGACGCUCAGACGCGAAAGCUAGGGGAGCGAACGGGAUUAGAUACCCCGGUAGUCCUAGCUGUAAACGAUGUGGACUUGGCGUUGGUGGGGUUGAAUCCAUCAGUGCCGGAGCUAACGCGAUAAGUCCACCGCCUGGGGACUACGGUCGCAAGAUUAAAACUCAAAGGAAUUGGCGGGGGCCCGCACAAGCAGCGGAGCGUGUGGUUUAAUUCGAUGCUACACGAA
rnacentral:rRNA from 1 species